AUAGCGCGAAAUUUUCGAGGGGCUUAAUUUUCGCGGAUUUCGUGGGUUGGAAUUCUACACGAAAAUUAAGUCCACGAAAAGUGUUUGUUAAUAAGAAUUACCUGCUAUCAUGCAAAUAUUUAAAGGCGUGGCUUCCGGUAAGCAGUCAUUCCGCGAACAUUGUGCAAAGAAAUGGCUUUUAGAGGCCAAUCCACGAAAUAUAAGUGCCUCGAAAAUUUCGCGCUAUACGGUACUUUUAGACACACCACGGGCCUGUCCCUCCUACGACUUCAUAGUAAAGGCUAUUUCUUCUUGCAUAGCAUUUAUUUGUCUAGUAAUAGUGGCUGCAUGGCUUAGUCGACUUUUUAGAGCUAAAUUCUCUUUACUUUUUAGAAAAAUCAACAUUAAAAAUGAUCAAUUUCACUGUUUCUAUGUACAGCACAUUGUAGAGCAGUCAAGACUGGUAAUGAGCAUGCUGACUAUAAAUAUAAUCCUUUGUAGUUUUAGCCACGCCCUAUAACGCGGAAUGCUUCACGCAAAAAUUUCGUAAAAAUUUCGUUUCCAAUCCCCUUUCUUUUGUAUCUCUGAUCUAUGGUAGAGGGGAGGGAUUGGAAACAUCUCAGGUGACCAAUGUAUUGCCCUAGAGAAUUCUGACACCAUGCGUGUUGCAUUCCGCAAGUAUUGAUUGCGAUUGAUUGCGAGCCAGAUGCAAAGACAAAAGAGAAGAAAGUGAAGAAAACUGCAGGGUACUCAGAAAAUCAGAAAAUCUGCCAAGACCCUUUUAUGCCAACGGCAGAGGGGAGGGACACAUGAUAACCCCACUGUUAUGUAUUAUGAUUAGUAAAUUCUUUUGCAAGAGCUAAACAGUGACCGAUGACGAGAAUACACCAUUGCCUAAAAGGGCGUCAGGCUCAUAAAAAUUAUGUUUUGUGUUUGUAAACAUUUUUAUGUAAACAUCAAAAUUGUGUGAUUGUGUGAAAGUCAUAAUGUUAUGAGGCAGUCUA